GCUGAAAAUAUCAAAAUUAACGGUGCUGAGAAAAAAAUUGAAAACUUAACAAAACUUCAGCUGAUAGGAUCAAAUAUCAAUCUCUGAAUCGUACAUUUAUUAAUUAUGGAUUUUUUAAACAGUCGAGUGGAAUUACCAAGGUUAUUUUGACCGACAUUUGCCAGCAAAACGUUCCUUUUAAGAUUGCAAUUUUUUUAAAGACAAACGUCUUUAGUUUUGUUAAGAAUAUUUUAUGCUCUCUCUGGAUGAUGGCUCAUAUCCAUUUACGAUCGCGAAAAAGUUCCAAGAAAUGUUGCUCGGAACUGCGCGCGGAACAAAACAGAAACCAAAAGAGGUUCAAAAGAAGAGGAAUCGAAGAAGGAGAAGGGUCGAGAUGGACUCAGCCUAGCAUCGUUUCGAGGAAAAAGUAAACGAAAGUUUUCAUUUAAUUUCGGCCAAAAGCUAAAGCGUGAUGGGAUGACGAACUAGUUAUGCAACUCCGAGGCCCUGAAAAGUUUAACAACGACAACAACAAAAGAAAUGCGUAGAAAGGGAUUUCAAAUAAAGCGACCAAAUGCAGAAAUCGAUCAGACGAAGUAAAGCACAGCGAAAAGGGCAAACAUGAUUGUGGUACACAAGAAAAUGACUGAAUGUCGAAAAAGAUUAGAAGAAAUGGAAGAAAUCAGGUAUAUUAAUUAUGGGACAACGGCACUAGCCGUCUGCACAAGGUCUGACUGUAAGAACCAUUCAACAAAGCAUCUUGUUUUAACUGCGGAAAGUAAAAAUGUCUUCCAGAGGGCACCCUAUACGACAACCACAACAGGACCCACUAAAUGCUGGACAUAAUUUCAACCGUGAACUUAGACAUGGCGUUUCUACGAGUGGACAGCCUGUACAACAACCACAGCACGACCCAUUGAACGCUGAAUAUCAUUUUAUCGGUAAUCAUAGAAAUUUCCACGUUUCUACGAGUGGACAGCCUGUACAACAACCACAGCAGGACCCAUUGAAUGCUGAAGCUAUUAACAGAGACGUCGACAGAAGUAUCAGAAGAAUGUCAGAAAGAAUACCCCCAGAAUUAUAGAACCUCCACCGCGCACAAUAAGCCUGAAGCGAGAUGACGUUUUACCCCCGUCUCUAGACCAUAAUCCUUUUCACAUUGCUUUUGUUCUUUAAUUAUGACUAUUGUUCCUGUAUUCUCUAAGGAAUCAAAAAUUUUAAUAUGAAAGAAUUUAAAAAACUAUUAUGGUAUAGAGUCGGGGGUAAAAUGUCAUCUCGCUUCAGGCUUAUUGUGAUAAACAUAAAGUGAGUAGCUUUUCUACAACAAUAGCUUAUUCAAUAAUGAAGGCAAAUAAUAAAUAAUAGUGACAAGGAGAAAAUGAUUUUAAUUAAUAUUUCAAUUACGGUUUGGAUUAAAUGCAAGAUAAGUCAAUUUUGGAUAGAGGUGAAUUAGAAUUCAGUACCGAGGAUGUUACCAAGAAAAAGCAACUUUAAUUGAGAAUAGACCUUUUUAACUUCGUAUGCAAAUUGACCAUUUCAGAUCAUGACAUUUCCUUGAGAAUUAUUCUCUAAGUGGCAUCACAUGGUCUGAUAUUUGCAAAACAAACGAAGCUAAAUAGGUCUUGCAUGGUGCUCAAGUGUGCCAGGGUGCAUUUAUUUUUUAAAUACCUUUCACACUUUUUUUUAAGUAAACGUCCAGCUAAAUUUCAAACACUAUCAUCUUAAAAUUGAUAGAGACGACUCAUUUUUUCAAAAAAAGUUCACAUAGUUGGCAUUUGCAAAUGAUGAAAACUCAUAACAAGACAUGCGGAUAAUAUGGGGCGUGGCAAAACGAGCCCCCUCAAUCAUUUUAUUCCUGCUACGGGCCUGUUAUCUAAGUAAUAAUCUUAUUAUCUUACGAUUUAUUCUUCAUUCUCUGAUGCUGGUUUGUUAUCUGAUUUUCUCAUUGCAGGUUAGAAUGAAACUAUGGCGUAUCCAGGAUUUGAAUUAGAAUUAUUAAACAUUACUUAAAUAAACGAGCAGGAGUGUUUUAUCGGGUAUAAAACACGAGGCGUAGCCGAGUGGUUUUAGACCCGAUAAAACACGAUCUGCGAGUUUAUUAAACGGCUUAAAAAACUCC
rnacentral:lncRNA from 1 species